GACGAACGCUGGCGGCGCGCCUAACACAUGCAAGUCGAACGAGCGAGAGAGAGCUUGCUUUCUCAAGCGAGUGGCGAACGGGUGAGUAACGCGUGAGGAACCUGCCUCAAAGAGGGGGACAACAGUUGGAAACGACUGCUAAUACCGCAUAAGCCCACAGGUCGGCAUCGACCAGAGGGAAAAGGAGCAAUCCGCUUUGAGAUGGCCUCGCGUCCGAUUAGCUAGUUGGUGAGGUAACGGCCCACCAAGGCAACGAUCGGUAGCCGGACUGAGAGGUUGAACGGCCACAUUGGGACUGAGACACGGCCCAGACUCCUACGGGAGGCAGCAGUGGGGAAUAUUGCACAAUGGGGGAAACCCCGAUGCAGCGACGCCGCGUGGAGGAAGAAGGUCUUCGGAUUGUAAACUCCUGUUGUUGAGGAAGAUAAUGACGGUACUCAACAAGGAAGUGACGGCUAACUACGUG
rnacentral:rRNA from 1 species